GAUGAAGAACGCAGCGAAAUGCGAUAAGUAAUGUGAAUUGCAGAAUUCAGUGAAUCAUCGAAUCUUUGAACGCACCUUGCACCCUUUGGCUAUUCCGAAGGGUAUGCCUGUUUGAGUAUCAUGAACACCUCAACUCUCAUGGUUUGCCAUGAUGAGCUUGGACUUUGGGGGUCUUGCUGGCCUGUGGUCAGCUCCUCUCAAAUGGAUUAGCUUGCCAGUGUUUGGUGGCAUCACAGGUGUGAUAACUAUCUACGCUUGUGGUUUUCCACCAGGUAACCUUCAGCAAUGGGGGUUCGCUGGGGCUCAUAAAUGUCUCUCCUCAGUGAGGACAGCUCUUUGAACGUUUGAUCUCAAAUCAGGUAGGACUACCCGCUGAACUUAAGCAUAUCAUAAGCGGAGGA
rnacentral:misc_RNA from 1 species